rnacentral:lncRNA from 1 species
AUGUUGGCCAGUAGUUGUUCCCAGUUGGAGCUGCUAGGGGGCGCCACCUCUCACCAGUGCUCCUCUAUCCUAGAGAAACGAGUCGGACCUUGCACCCCUUUACGAUGCGGUUCCACCCUCAGGCAGCUCCUCCCACUUCCUCAUCCUCAGCUGUCAAUCAGCUGGGUGGUCAGGGCAACGGGGGUACCCCUCCCCCUACAGCCGUUGUACCUGCGUCGUCAGGGCGGAAGGAGCGAGAGGGGGGAUAGUGACGGGCUUUUGCCCCUAGUGAGGUCACACAGCGAGCCUGGCCUCAGCUCUUCUGCUGAUACAGUAUACUUCAGUGGUGGCUCAGUGGGCAGUAAAGGAGUGAGGGAGGGCUCUCAGACCUCUACAGACACAGGUCCGUCCUCCGAGGCAUGCCUGCUACCCCGCUCCUCUCUGGUGCCCCCCUCAGCCCUCCUCCCCAGGAAGGGCGGUGUGAAGGCAGCCACCAUGAGCCGCACCUUGCCCCUCUCCAAAGGCCCUGCCAACUCUCCCUUGCACCUUCCCAAAGAAUGCAACCGCUCUCUUGGGGACCUCAAGGUGACGAGGGGGUUGGUGGCUCGCUUCCUGCAGCGCUCCAAACGGAACCUGGCGUCCGCCGCAGAGCAUUCUGGGAACACGGGACAGGGUCAGAAAAGAAGAGGUGGGGUGGAGGGCAACGGGACAGGCCAUCUCCCUUUAGAACAGGUGUUACGUAACUCCUGGGGGGCCAGCCAGGGAUCCCACCCGCCAUACCCUCAUCACCGUGGUCACCACCACUCCCAUAGCGACAGCCGCCACAACCGCCAUCAUAGCAACCAACCCCCUGUGACGGAAGGGAUCCACUUGCGCAGCUGCGGCGACUUAAGCUCCUCCUCCUCUGCGUCGCUAUGGCGAUUACUGACGGCCAACCCCCCUCACGGGUCAUCAGGGGCACUGUACACAGAGUCAGCCCUGUAA